rnacentral:rRNA from 1 species
UACGAAGGGGGCUAGCGUUGCUCGGAAUCACUGGGCGUAAAGCGCACGUAGGUGGGUCGUUAAGUCGGGGGUGAAAUCCUGGAGCUCAACUCCAGAACUGCCUUCGAUACUGGCGAUCUUGGAGUCCGGGAGAGGUGAGCGGAACUGCGAGUGUAGAGGUGAAAUUCGUAGAUAUUCGCAAGAACACCAGUGGCGAAGGCGGCUCACUGGCCCGGUACUAACACUGAGGUGCGAAAGCGUGGGGAGCAAACAGG